CCCUCUCCCGUUGCCUGGUAACAGCCCUCCCCUUCACCAGCUCCGCGGAAACCAUAGCAACGGGCAGCCGGAAGAUGCGGCCAUUCCUCUCCCUUUUGUCCAUUGCAUUUCAGCAGCGCCCGCGCACAUGGACGCUCCAAUUACAGCUCUAGAGGCUAGAAAUUGGCAGUCAGGAUGUGUGUAAGGCCACGCUCCCUCUGAAGACUCCAGGGGAGGAUCUUUCCUUGCCUCCUCCAGCUUCUGGUGGCUGCCAGCAUCCUUGGCAUUCCUUGGCCUGUGGACACAUCACUCUCAUCUCUGCCCAUGGUCACAACCCCAAGCUCCAGAAUACAGACCAGCAGGCGAGGAGACAAGGAGGCAAGCAGAUGGAUGGUGGAACAAAGUGGCAGAGAAAGAGAGAAGAGGAGAGAUGUCUGGACGCCAAGAGGAGUCUGGCUGGGGCCAGUCAGAGAAGAGUCCAGCGGCUGGGCAGCCCGACUCCAGGGGAAGAUCACCUUCCCACUCCAUCCCCCUUCACGCUCCCCAUCCAUCUCACUAAGAGCCAUCUCUACCACUCAAUAAAACCUUGCAUUCAUCCUUCAAA
rnacentral:lncRNA from 1 species